CCUACGGGUGGCAGCAGUGAGGAAUAUUGGUCAAUGGCCGGAAGGCUGAACCAGCCAAGCCGCGUGAAGGACGAAGGUGCCAAGCAUUGUAAACUUCUUUUGUCAAGGGACAAAAUCAGGCUCGAGAGCCUGACCGAGGGUACUUGAAGCAAAAGCAUCGGCUAACUCCGGGCCAGCGGCCGCGGUAAUACGGGGGAUGCGAGCGUUAUCCGGAUUUAUGGGGUUAAAAGGGUGCCUAGGCGGGCGGUUAAGUCGACGGUAAAAGCCCGGGGCUCAACCCCGGCGAGCCGUUGAAACUGGCUGUCUUGAGAUGCCGAGAGGUAUGCGGAAUGCGCGGUGUAGCGGUGAAAUGCUUAGAUAUCGCGCAGAACUCCGAUUGCGAAGGCAGCAUACCGGCGGCGAUCUGACGCUGAGGCACGAAAGCGUGGGUAUCGAACAGGAUUAGAUACCCUUGUAGUC
rnacentral:rRNA from 1 species